CCCUUAGAUGUUCUGGGCCGCACGCGUGCUACACUGAGUGGAUCAGCGGGUCAGGUUGCGCGAAAGUGUUUCCUAAUCUUGAAAUCCGCUCGUGAUGGGGAUUGACGGUUGCAAUUUUCCGUCAUGAACGAGGAAUACCUUGUAAGCGCGGGUCAUCAUCCCGCGCUGAAUACGUCCCUGCCCUUUGUACAUACCGCCCGUCGCUCCUACCGAUUGAGUGGUCCGGUGAGGCUUUGGGAUCUGAGCGGAAAGAGCGUUUCGCUGUUUCUGCUCGGAAAACUCAGUCGAACCUUAUCAUUUAGAGGAAGGAGAAGUCGUAACA
rnacentral:rRNA from 1 species